AUCGCUUCUCGGCCUUUUGGCUAAGAUCAAGUGUAGAAAUUUCCUUCUCUUUUUAUGUGUUAGGUUUUAUUUUUCCACAAAUAAACACUGAAUUUUAUCAAAUGUUCAUCUAACAUUUACUAAGAUGAUCAUGU
rnacentral:snRNA from 1 species